rnacentral:rRNA from 1 species
AUGACGGUACCCUGGGAAUAAGCAUCGGCUAACUCCCGUGCCAGCAGCCGCGGUAAUACGGAGGAUGCGAGCGUUAUCCGGGAUUCAUUGGGUUUAAAGGGUGCGUAGGCGGACUAUUAAGUCAGUGGUGAAAUCCUGCAGCUUAACUGCAGAACUGCCAUUGAUACUGAUAGCCUUGAGUUUGGUUAAGGUAGGCGGAAUGUGUAAUGUAGCGGUGAAAUGCUUAGAUAUUACACAGAACACCAAUUGCGUAGGCAGCUUACUGAGCCGACACUGACGCUGAGGCACGAAAGCGUGGGGAUCGAACAGGAUUAGAUACCCUGGUAGUCCACGCCGUAAACGAUGAUUACUCGCUGUUGGCGAUACACUGUCAGCGGCUAAGCAAAAGCAAUAAGUAAUCCACCUGGGGAGUACGGCCGCAAGGUUGAAACUCAAAGGAAUUGACGGGGGCCCGCACAAGCGGAGGAACAUGUGGUUUAAUUCGAUGAUACGCGAGGAACCUUACCUGGGCUUAAAUGUAGAGUGCAUUUUCUAGAGAUAGGAAUUCCCUUCGGGGCUUUCUGCAAGGUGCUGCAUGGUUGUCGUCAGCUCGUGCCGUGAGGUGUCGGGUUAAGUCCCAUAACGAGCGCAACCCUUAUCGUUAGUUGCCAUCUGGUAAAGCAGGGGACUCUAGCGAAACUGCCACCGUAAGGUGAGAGGAAGGUGGGGAUGACGUCAAAUCAGCACGGCCCUUAUGUCCAGGGCUACACACGUGUUACAAUGGUCGGUACAGAGGGCAGCUACCUGGUGACAGGAUGCUAAUCUCGAAAACCGGUCUCAGUUCGGAUCGAAGUCUGCAACUCGACUUCGUGAAGCUGGAUUCGCUAGUAAUCGCGCAUCAGCCAUGGCGCGGUGAAUACGUUCCCGGGCCUUGUACACACCGCCCGU